UGGGGAAUAUUGGACAAUGGGCGAAAGCCUGAUCCAGCCAUGCCGCGUGUGUGAAGAAGGUCUUCGGAUUGUAAAGCACUUUAAGUUGGGAGGAAGUGCAGUAAGCGAAUACCUUGCUGUUUUGACGUUACCGACAGAAUAAGCACCGGCUAACUCUGUGCCAGCAGCCGCGGUAAUACAGAGGGUGCAAGCGUUAAUCGGAAUUACUGGGCGUAAAGCGCGCGUAGGUGGUUCGUUAAGUUGAAUGUGAAAGCCCCGGGCUCAACCUGGGAACUGCAUCCAAAACUGGCGAGCUAGAGUAGGGCAGAGGGUGGUGGAAUUUCCUGUGUAGCGGUGAAAUGCGUAGAUAUAGGAAGGAACACCAGUGGCGGAGGCGACCACCUGGGCUCAUACUGACACUGAGGUGCGAAAGCGUGGGGAGCAAACAGG
rnacentral:rRNA from 1 species